rnacentral:rRNA from 1 species
AUGAAGGACAACGGAGGGGCGAGGCAGCCCUGGCCGUGCGACUACUGCGGGGAGGCGGCGGCGGCGCUGCACUGCCGGGCCGACGCGGCGCGGCUCUGCGUGGCGUGCGACCGCCACGUGCACGCCGCCAACGCGCUCUCGCGGAAGCACGUGCGCGCGCCGCUCUGCGCCGGGUGCGCGGCCCGCCCGGCGGCUGCGCGCGUGGCGGCCGGGGGAGGCGAGCCGGCGUUCCUCUGCGCGGAUUGCGACGGAGGUUGCGAGGGCGCGGCGCGCGUGCCCGUGGAGGGGUUCGCGGGCUGCCCCGCGGCGUCCGAGCUCGCCGCGUCGUGGGGCGUCGACCUCCUCCCUGGCGCCGGUGGCGCCGCCGCGUUCGGUUGCGGCCUCGGCGGCGGCGGCGACCAAGAGGAUGAGGACGCCUUCUUCUUCUCGUCCUUGGACUACUCCAUGCUGGUUGACCCCGAGAUGCGCGACCUCUACGUGCCCUGCAACCCGCCGGAGGUGGCUGUCUCGGCGGGCGGCGGCCGGCCCCUCAAGGGGGAAGCGCUGUGCCACCAGCUCGCGGAGAUGGCGCGGCGAGAAACGGAGACGUCGCAGCCGCAGGGGUACUCGGAUCUGAGCCCCAGGACUCCUCGUCGGUCCUCCGCCGGGGCUAGCGGGCGCUUGCCUGACAAGCAAGCUCCCCCACCGCUGCCUCCUGCUCCGGAGGUGCCGUGUCCGUACACGUCCCUGCUGAUGAUGCCGUCAGCUCACUGCGCCGAGCUUAUCGGCAACGACCGCCUCCGUGAUGAUGACGAAGAGCAACUUCGAUGGGAGUUCGCCCCACCCUCAUCCGUGCCACCCACCCAGAUAUGGGAUUUCAAUUUAGGAAGAUCAAGGAACCACAAUGAAAAAUCUGCACAUGAGAUUGGAUUUGGUUCAAACAAUGGAGGCUUUAUGAUCAAGAGUUAUAGUGACAUGCUCAAGGAGAUUUCUUGUGGGACAACGAAAGAUCUGGAAGAUAUUUAUGACUCAGGAUAUGGUGCAGCUGCUGAAGAUAUCAUGUCAACAAAUAUUUGCCAAGUGCCAUCCAAAAAUGUUAGCACAGCGAGCAACAAGCGAAUGAAGGUAAGCUCAUGCACCUCGACGAUGGAUGGCCCAACAACCUCCGGGAGCCAUGUGCCUGCUUCUGGGACCUUGGGGAGCUCUUCCCAUGACAGAGGAGCAGCUCCCACUAGGGAGAUCUCCUUUGGCGAUCAAAGGAUCGUCCCGACUGGAGCUGAGAAGCCUGCCGCAAGGAUCGACAGCGAGACGCUCGCGCUAAACAGGGAUAGCGCGAUGCAGCGGUACAAAGAGAAGAGGAAGAAUCGCAGGUACGAGAAGCACAUCCGGUAUGAGUCCCGGAAGCUGAGGGCGGAUACCCGUAAGCGGGUGAAAGGCCGUUUUGUCAAGUCGAAUGAAGCGCUCAGUGCCGGCAGCAAUGGCGGAUGA